rnacentral:rRNA from 1 species
AGAAUAUUAGUCAAUGCUCGAAAGAGUGAACUAGCUAACUGAAAUCAAUUAAAAUAAUUGAUAACAUAAGGGAAAAUAAUGAUAUUACCUUAUUAUUAGUGUCGUCCAAAUCUGGUGCCAGAAGACUCGGUAAGGCCAGAGACACAAACGUUAAUCGUCUUAAUCAGGCGUAAAGGGUUUGUAGGCGGCUUUAAAAUUUAUUUAUAAAAAUAAGUAAAGAAUAAAAGCUAGAAUCAAAUAGAGGAUAUAUAAAAUAAUGCUUAGAGUAGGUCCGAUAUCCUUAGAUACUAAGUAGAAUAUUAAAGGCGAAAGCUUUUUUCCAUUAAUGAUUGACGCUGAGAAACGAAGGUGAGGAUAGGAAAUAGGAUUAGAUACCCAAAAUACCCCUCUCUGUCAACGAUGAAUGGUAGUUAUUAAUAUUAAUACAAAUUAUUAAUGGCAAUGUUAACACGAUAACCAUUCCGCCUUGUGAGUACAACUGCAAAGUUGAAAACAAAAAAAUAGUCGGUUUCGGAGCAAACGAAGUGAAGCAUGUUAUUUAAUUCGAUAAUCCGCAAA